ACUCUAAACCAAUUCUCAGCUCCUCCGCCAGACAACUCACCAGAUAAAACCUUUGCAUUUGCAGCAGAAAGUGAAGCACCUUAAGAUUAAACUUUGUCUCCUCAUAUAGGCAUUGUAUCAUCUCACAUCAUCAAAAGAAGAAGGCUGAGUACAGUGUAACCCAUUUUGAGAGAACCACAUUCACAUAAGAAAUUCCAGGGACUAAUAUUGAGAUGAACCAGGCAUGGAGACCAAGCUGCAAAAUUCCAGAAAUGACCUCCAGGUUGUUAGUCUACAACCCAGCCAUCGUCAAGAUAACAUUAGACUGCGUUCCAGGUGGACCAUGACUCAAGAUAGCCACCAGACCAAGGCACGGACACCUAGCACCCAGCACCACUCCUGCAUGCCUCCCACUCUAAGUUCCCCUUUAUAAACACCUCUCCACAGUCGAAAGUUUGAAAUCGUCUUUUAAGGGCAUGAGCUUGGCCAUUCCCAGAUCUUGGCAUUUGAAUAAAGUA
rnacentral:lncRNA from 10 species